UACAGUAAGUGAGGAAACUUGUAGC
rnacentral:piRNA from 1 species